rnacentral:misc_RNA from 2 species
CCGAGUUUUCAACUCCCAAACCCCUGUGAACAUACCAUGUUGCUUCGGCGGAUCACCCCAAGCCCCUCGGGGCGCGGGGCCCGCCAGAGGACCCAAAACUCAACUGUAUUUUUUGUAUCAAAACGUAUUCUGAGUGGAAUUUUAAAUAAAUCA